rnacentral:rRNA from 1 species
GUGGGGAAUUUUGGACAAUGGGGGCAACCCUGAUCCAGCCAUCCCGCGUGUGCGAUGAAGGCCUUCGGGUUGUAAAGCACUUUUGGCAGGGAAGAAAAGUUUCGGGCUAAUACCCUGGAGCGAUGACGGUACCUGCAGAAUAAGCACCGGCUAACUACGUGCCAGCAGCCGCGGUAAUACGUAGGGUGCAAGCGUUAAUCGGAAUUACUGGGCGUAAAGCGUGCGCAGGCGGUUCGGAAAGAAAGAUGUGAAAUCCCAGGGCUUAACCUUGGAACUGCAUUUUUAACUGUCGAACUCGAGUAUGUCAGAGGGGGGUAGAAUUCCACGUGUAGCAGUGAAAUGCGUAGAGAUGUGGAGGAAUACCGAUGGCGAAGGCAGCCCCCUGGGAUAAUACUGACGCUCAUGCACGAAAGCGUGGGGAGCAAACAGGAUUAGAUACCCUAGUAGUCC